GUGCAAACUCUCGAUAUCAUUUUACACCACUCACGUCAUCCACCAAAUCAGAGAGAGAGAGAGAGAGAUAAAGCCGCCGGCAAAGGAGGAAGCCGACAUCCGGUGACCAGCCUUGGGUCCAUGAAACUUCGGCGAGUCAGAUCUGUCGUGCAUAUCCCGUUUUGGUGUAACUCCUACCUAUUGCUUCACUGCUCCGGCAACUGAUGAAGGAUUACGGUGGUUUUGGUUUUGAGCUGGUGGUUGAUGAUGGGUUUUUGUUGCUCGCCGAGUGAAACGGGUAGAGGUGAUUCCAACAAGUAAGAUUGUCACAAUUGAUGGGUUUUUGCAGCUGUAAGCAAUUGGGGGUAGUAAUCACUGGUAGCUGAGACGACUGCCGGCGGCAGAAACGACUCCGACAGUCGGACACUGGUCAAGAGAGGAGAGAACCCUCUCGAUUUCAACUUCAACUUCCAAGUUUGGGAUCUCUAAUCUUUUCUCAUCAAAAACUUCCGGUGAGUGAAGAACCAUUGUUGCUGCAACUCUGCAAGGGACACUUUGGGUCAGGUAGUCAUCUUUGGUAGUGGGAGCUUUGGUUCUUAAAGUGUAAGGCUUGAUUCACAUAGGAGAGACACUCUCAGGUAAUCCUAAUGAACCACCUUCAACCAAAAGGACUCUGAUAUCGAUGGAUUUAAAAAUUGUUUUCCACACUUAACCUAACAAUUCAAUAUCCAAAUUUUUGUAAUGGGAAAUUUUUAAUUCCCCUCACCUGUAUAGUUAUUUUGGUUAAAUUAUAUUUAUCAUAUGUAUUAUAGUUGAAGAGUUAAAGAUUAAAAAAGUUGCAGUUUCUUUAUAUAUACAAUAUUAAAAUUCUUGAAUCUUAUUGUUCAAUAAAGUUCGUAUAUAAUUUUCGAAGUAA